CUUAGAUACCCGGGUAGUCCACGCCGUAAACGAUGGAUACUAGCUGUUCGAUCUUCGGAUUGAGUGGCUAAGCGAAAGUGAUAAGUAUCCCACCUGGGGAGUACGUUCGCAAGAAUGAAACUCAAAGGAAUUGACGGGGGCCCGCACAAGCGGUGGAGCAUGUGGUUUAAUUCGAUGAUACGCGAGGAACCUUACCAGGGCUUAAAUGUAGUCUGACAGCUUUAGAGAUAGAGUUUUCUUCGGACAGAUUACAAGGUGCUGCAUGGCCGCCGUCAG
rnacentral:rRNA from 1 species